GCGACUUUGCGUUUUACACCCUGGCCUGGACAUUUUCCCGGUAAAUAGCAAUGAAACUGCUUGAAUGAGUCUAGUCUACGCUCCUCGAUCGGGCGCGCCAGUUCCAAAUCGAAUCGUACAUGCGCACAGUACAGACGUACGUCGAUGCAGCAUUUAUACACACCGUACGCAGCUGCAAUACUGAAGAUUAAGGGAGAAGAUAUAGGAUUUCAAGUUCAGAACAACAAGUUAAGAAGCUUGCUGCACGAUGGAAUUCAUCGAGGAUGAUGACGGAGUGGCAAUGCAGACGCCUUUGCGGGUAUGAAUACUGUAAAUCCAGUUUUGAAUUGUAGUUAUAUGAGUACGAUUAACUGUAACUGUUAGGCAUCCAUAGUUAGCAAAACUAAGAGUAAGACUAAGUGAGUCGCUGCACAUUAAAAAUAUUUUCACGUAUCAUCCAUUAUUAUGUGUAUUCAGUUCGUUAUCUCCAAAGUAAAGUGCGGUGCACGCCUCUGCGCCCAUGAAUCCGCCUAUGUUCAGAUCUCUUUUUAUCUACAUGUGCAUGUAUUUUCAAAUAAAAAUUUCUUAUAGUCAUUUCUUGCAUCUAAAUCUUAACACACUGUCAAAUUAUCUGUUCAAAUUUCUACUAUUGUUUGCUUUCACUUUUACUACAUAUUUCUUCUUUAUAUAACUAUUUAUGCAUACACAUACUCCUGUAUCUUUUGUAUUACUUCUCUGACAUUGAAGGAUUAGAUUACCUUCACGAAAAAAAAAAGUAUAUGAAUGUAAAGCAGUAAAUAAAGUGCAAAUGAAUUCAUGUAAAA